AGUUGUUGUCGUCAAGAGACUUUAUACGAUACUUUUGGGAACGUUAUUGACCAGCCGAAGGCCAAUGUGGAAUGCUUCCUGUUGACUAAAUUGCGUAUUUGCACGUAACACAUGCUGGUCUGUGAAUUUCACAGUUUUUCUUUAGUCUGCAAUCGGUGGCACUGUGUGUCCUGUUUUUUGAAAACGAAUUUUACAGUGUCGUAAAUACACAAUCAAGACAGCGUUAGCAUCUCCAACGAUCGGCUGCCCAAUGAAAGUCUUAUUUCAUUCAACAUCACAUUGGGCAAAUUGCCCAUGAAUGAUGAGGAUGAAAUGAUGAGAACAACACAACACCCAGUCCAUGAGUGGAGAAAAUCUCCAACCCUGCCGGGAAUCGAAUCUGAGCCAACUUGCAUGGGAGAAUAUGGCAUCAGGGAUAUGCAGAAGUUCUGUUUGUGGUGCAACUCUCAUCAAACAAGAGCCAGUUGAGACUGAACCACUUGCAUCCCCAGAGCAAGAGAUCGAGCACAUAUCUGUUAAGCAAGAAACUCCUGUUGAUGUCAACCCACUUGCAUCCCCCAAGCAAGAGAUGGAGUAUGUAUCUGCUAAGGAAGAAACUCCAGAGUGGGAUGUGCCUGAUGACCACAAUAGUAUGCAUGAUCCACAAAGCAUCACCAAAGAGGAGUGUUCAUCUUCAGAAGACUUUCUCAGCCCUAGUGCUCCCAGUAUUGAGGACGACGACGAGGAAGACGAGGAUGCAAUGAGUGAGGACGAUUUUCAGACUGUGUCCAUGAAGCACUAUCCAGCCAAUACCAAGAAAAAGCUGAAAUUUUUGAAGCAGUCAUUAAAUGAAGCUGGAACAAUUACUUGGAAACAAUUAAGUUGGCAAGUGUAGCGGAUCUUUUUCACGCUUGCAACAGCUGAGCAAAUCCACCAUUGCAGAACAUUGUCUUUGCACCGGUCAUCCUAUGGAAUAUAACAACAUGGGGAUUCUGGCAUGCACGUCCAGCUGUUGAGAUCAUGUUAUUCAGCAAACGGUCCAAAUUAAAUAAGCAAAUAAAACCUUAUAAUUAUAGUCCGUGGAUUUUGUUUAACCAUUGUAUGGAAUCCUGCUCCCUCCAUUGUCAAAAGUUCUGAAAUUGAUUGUCUUUGGUUUGUGAUGGCACUGUGUGUGUGUGUGUGUGUGUGUGUGUGUGUGUGUGUGUGUGUGUGUGUCUGUCUGAUAUCUUUCUGUGUGUCUGUCUGAUAUCUUUCUGGAGUUUCUGUGCGAAGCAUUGUCCAUAUCAUUCAAACUCUCUUACAUUUUAGCACUGAUUUUCUUGUUAGCCAGUCAUAUAAUUUUAAUCUGAAAUUUUUAAAUGACAAGGAUCAAGCAGCGAAAGGAAACAUGUCAAAAAUUUUGAGUGUGUUCAUUUUAUGGGAGUUUGCUGUUAUUGUUAGCUUGUGCUUUGGGAUGUCAAUGUUCACCUUUUUUCUAGUCCCAUGUUUAUGAAUUGUUCCUCUGGUAACACAUUCUUUAAUGUUGCUCUUGAUGAAAAGUGCAGACUCAUAGACAUACUUAUUCACCUCUGUUAGUACCCUAAGCUUGGUGAAAAGAAGGUGGCAGUGCUCUUUAGGACCAGCCUUUCAUAUGACACUGGCGGCUUUUUCUUCUUUCUGUCUCUUUUCUUUUCUUUUCUUUUCUUUUCUUUUCUUUUAUGUUCCUGAUAUGAGGAGAAUGUCCCCAUAUGAGUAGGCCAUAUGAAAUAUGUGACUAAAAGAGUGUGAAAUAAGUCAUACAUAAUUAUUGAUAACUGACUGUGAUACACAAUUGGGCAUGUCAUUGACAGCAGCAGUUAAACACAAGCGGUCAAGAACAGAACCCUGCGGAACACCUGUUCCCUUGUAAGAAGGCAUCUGCUGCUGUUCAUGUAGGUAGAAAUUACUGCUAAUGUAGAUUUUUGUAUACUUUAAUACCCUAAUUUUGUUACCAAAAGGAAUGCUUUCAAAUGCUUUACUUAGAUCAAGUGACAUUGUCUUACUAUUUUCUAAAACUGUUAAAAUCUUAUCAACAAUUUCCAGAACAACUGCAGUGGUAUAUUUACCUGGUUGAAAUUCAUACUGACUGUUGCAGAGGAGUUCAUGUUUGUUUUUCAAAAUAAUUGCUUAAUUGAAUGUUCAUGAGUAAUUCAAAGAAUUUUUAAAAUAUUGCCACAAUAGAAACUGGUUGGUAGUACUGAGGGAGCUGCAUAUCACCCAUCUUGUAUAUGGGGUAACUUCUAAGAUUUUGAGUGAAUCCAGAAAAACUCCAUAUUCUAAACAUUCAUUGAAAAUAAUGGUUGUUUUUAUAGUAUUAAGAGUAUAUCCAAUGUGUGUGUAUAUUAUGGUACAUAGAAUAGAAUAACAAUCAAAAAAGGAAAAAUAGUACGAAUGAGCAUUGAAUGUGAUCAUUUUAACACUUGUGUCCACAUUGGGUUACUUGCGUUACCUUUAUAAUUAUAACAGGCAGUUUUUCAGAUGUAUUGAAACUAGUGUACACAAGCCUCAGUUUAUUCCUAAUUUUGUCUUAACAAAUGUCAUAAUAAAAGCAAACUUUAAAUAUCUUCAAAAAA